AUGAAAGGUUUUACAGGAAGCCCUCAGCAGCAGCAAGGGCUGCAACUACAACUUUUCAGGGAAACAGGAGGUGGGAAAAGGGGAAGAAAAACAGGGACCCCUCUACAGUCACCUACCAGUGUUGAAGAUCAUGGCAUGCCAGUGGAUGACGGUCAAUUCAAUCUACUAACAGAAAAGCUAGGGGUAGCAGAUGGAGGGUUGAGUUACCUGGAUUUUGUCACGACAUUGGAAGACUUCCUGCAUAAAAUUUGGAUGCCACCAAAAUCAAUGGAAGUUUUGCAGCUUCAAGAUCUAAGACAAGGGGGAGAGCUGACUUGUGGCUGGCUGACAUAAUAUUCAGACUUUUCUUCAUUCAGACCUUGAAGUUUAGAAGUUUGUGAUUACAGCUGACUAAACAUCUGUCCAUCAAUAUAACGUGCUUUCAUCCAGUAGCCUAAUAAACGACAUUUGAAGCAGAUUGGUCUGGGUGAA
rnacentral:lncRNA from 1 species